GGCGAACGCUGGCGGCGUGCUUAACACAUGCAAGUCGAACGGAAAGGCCCUGCUUUUGUGGGGUGCUCGAGUGGCGAACGGGUGAGUAACACGUGAGUAACCUGCCCUUGACUUUGGGAUAACUUCAGGAAACUGGGGCUAAUACAGGAUAGGAGCUCCUGCUGCAUGGUGGGGGUUGGAAAGUUUCGGCGGUUGGGGAUGGACUCGCGGCUUAUCAGCUGGUUGGUGGGGUAGUGGCUUACCAAGGCUUUGACGGGUAGCCGGCCUGAGAGGGUGACCGGCCACAUUGGGACUGAGAUACGGCCCAGACUGCUACGGGAGGCAGCAGUGGGGAAUAUUGCACAAUGGGCGGCAGCCUGAUGCAGCAACGCCGCGUGCGGGAUGACGGCCUUCGGGUUGUAAACCGCUUUCGCCUGUGACGAAGCGUGAGUGACGGUAAUGGGUAAAGAAGCACCGGCUAACUACGUG
rnacentral:rRNA from 1 species